AUAAUGAUUAUUAUUAAUCCUUAAUGA
rnacentral:tRNA from 1 species